rnacentral:rRNA from 1 species
GCUUGCUAAGUUUGAUGGCGACCGGCGCACGGGUGAGUAACACGUAUCCAACCCUGCCGAUGACUCGGGGAUAGCCUUUCGAAAGAAAGAUUAAUACCCGAUGGCAUAGUUCUUCCGCAUGGUGGAACUAUUAAAGAAUUUCGGUCAUCGAUGGGGAUGCGUUCCAUUAGGUUGUUGGCGGGGUAACGGCCCACCAAGCCUUCGAUGGAUAGGGGUUCUGAGAGGAAGGUCCCCCACAUUGGAACUGAGACACGGUCCAAACUCCUACGGGAGGCAGCAGUGAGGAAUAUUGGUCAAUGGACGAGAGUCUGAACCAGCCAAGUAGCGUGAAGGAUGACUGCCCUAUGGGUUGUAAACUUCUUUUAUACGGGAAUAAAGUGAGGCACGCGUGCCUUUUUGUAUGUACCGUAUGAAUAAGGAUCGGCUAACUCCGUGCCAGCAGCCGCGGUAAUACGGAGGAUCCGAGCGUUAUCCGGAUUUAUUGGGUUUAAAGGGAGCGUAGGCGGACGCUUAAGUCAGUUGUGAAAGUUUGCGGCUCAACCGUAAAAUUGCAGUUGAUACUGGGUGUCUUGAGUACAGUAGAGGCAGGCGGAAUUCGUGGUGUAGCGGUGAAAUGCUUAGAUAUCACGAAGAACUCCGAUUGCGAAGGCAGCUUGCUGGACUGUAACUGACGCUGAUGCUCGAAAGUGUGGGUAUCAAACAGGAUUAGAUACCCUGGUAGUCCACACAGUAAACGAUGAAUACUCGCUGUUUGCGACAUACAGUAAGCGGCCAAGCGAAAGCGUUAAGUAUUCCACCUGGGGAGUAC